GUCUUUUUAGUUCAAUGGUUAGAACAUUACCCUUUCAAGGUAGUGAUACGAGUUCGAUUCUCGUAAAAGGCA
rnacentral:tRNA from 1 species